rnacentral:rRNA from 1 species
UCAGUUAUCGUUUAUUUGAUAGUACCCUACUACAUGGAUACCUGUGGUAAUUCUAGAGCUAAUACAUGCGCCAAACCCCGACUUCGGAAGGGGUGUAUUUAUUAGAUAAAAAACCAAUGCCCCUCGGGGCUCCUUGGUGAUUCAUAAUAACUUCACGAAUCGCAUGGCCUUGCGCCGGCGAUGGUUCAUUCAAAUUUCUGCCCUAUCAACUUUCGAUGGUAGGAUAGUGGCCUACCAUGGUGGCAACGGGUAACGGGGAAUUAGGGUUCGAUUCCGGAGAGGGAGCCUGAGAAACGGCUACCACAUCCAAGGAAGGCAGCAGGCGCGCAAAUUACCCAAUCCCGAUACGGGGAGGUAGUGACAAUAAAUACUGAUACAGGGCUCUUUUGGGUCUUGUAAUUGGAAUGAGAACAAUCUAAACCCCUUAACGAGGAACAAUUGGAGGGCAAGUCUGGUGGACCUUCAGCGCCCAUCUGCUGACGCCAGAGAUAGUAGGGCCCCGGAUGGUCGGGGUUAUGCCUGCUAGUCGAGCAUUCGCAAUCGCGAUGGGUGAAUGCCGGCGAGGUGACCUGGUACGGGGAAGCCUACGGCCUCCGAGGCUACGGUGAUCCCGUGACGAGCCCCCUUCCGGGGCCGUCGUAACGCGCGGAAAGGCACCGGUUAUCCGUCUUCGGGCGGGUGACUCAAGGGACGUGCUGUCCUGUCCGAAAGGAUGCCCGCCGCUGGAGCACCCAUCGUGCAAAGGCGGCGGGGGGUGGUUUUUUUUUUCCACCCGGGUGACCCCGUGGCUCGGAUCUCCAGGGGGAGGCCGGCUGACGGGGGGGGAAACGGCCAGCAGCCGCGGUAAUUCCAGCUCCAAUAGCGUAUAUUAAAGUUGUUGCAGUUAAAAAGCUCGUAGUUGAACCUUGGGCCCGUCCUGCCGGUCCGCCUCACCGCGAGUACUGGUCCGGAUGGGCCUUUCUUUCUGGGGAAUCCCAUGGCCUUCACUGGCUGUGGCGGGGAACCAGGACUUUUACUGUGAAAAAAUUAGAGUGUUCAAAGCAGGCCUUUGCUCGGAUACAUUAGCAUGGAAUAAUAGAAUAGGACGUGCGGUUCUAUUUUGUUGGUUUCUAGGACCGCCGUAAUGAUUAAUAGGGAUAGUCGGGGGCGUCAGUAUUCAGCUGUCAGAGGUGAAAUUCUUGGAUUUGCUGAAGACUAACUACUGCGAAAGCAUUCGCCAAGGAUGUUUUCAUUAAUCAGGGAACGAAAGUUAGGGGAUCGAAGACGAUUUAAGGCGCCUGGCCGCGCCCCCAUGCCCCGUGGCAGGGGGCACAGCCUCGGUAUUUGGUCGUCCAAAGUAAGCUCAGAGUGCCUUGCUAGUCUUCGCGGCCGCGAAGGCGACACCGUCAAACUGCGGGAACAUCCUAAAGCCCGAACUACCAAGCCGACGCCGAAAGGCGCCGGUGGCCGGGGUAAUGACCUAGGGUACGGUAACAACGUUCGGGAUGCCACAGUGGAUAACCUGCAACCAAGCGCUACCGCCCGCCGGGCCACGCGUGCAGUUCACAGACUAGAUGUCGGUGGGGGGCCGAUGCGCCCCUUAAGAUAUAGUCGAAGCCCGGGGCGAAAGCCCGGGACGUCACCUGCAGAUACCGUCGUAGUCUUAACCAUAAACUAUGCCGACUAGGGAUCGGGCGGGGUUUUUAUGAUGACCCGCUCG